UAUAAAAACUUUGGUUUCUAUCAAUAAAAAAUAGUACUAUGUGUGUUGCCGAUGUACAUAAGGGGUGGGAUCAUUGAUCCUUAAGUGUUCUUUUUCCUCCAUCUCUUUGUUUUUCCAUUCAUGGAUGGUUUGAGGUGUUGUAUGUGACACGCGGUAUGCUUAUUCGCAUAUAAUUAAUUAUCAACAUCAAGUUAUUCAAGCUCACGUUCUAGUGGUACUGUCCGAAGGCUUUGCGAAAAGAUAUUUUGGCUUAAGCGUUCAGACGGCUAGGAUGUGAGGUUCGAGAUUUGGGGAUCGGGACCCGGGUUCGCUUCUAGAGUUCUAGCUUGGGGUCGAGGUCAACCUAGAUAUCAGGGGCAGGGUAGAGUAGCAGCACCUAUUCAAGAUAAGGCUAGGGAUCCAUUACCCGAUCCUAACUCAGCUCCUGAGAUUGAGAAAGAUUCAGGUAUUCCACCGCAUCAACAGGUGGGCCAGGGGUAGCCCAGGCUCCACCCAACUUUAUAUCUUCGUCACUUCUUCUGAAUACAUUAUCUCAGCUUUUAGGGUUAGUUGGUGGUGACCGAGGUGAUAGCUGUGGUUAUGGUGGAGGCAGUGGUGGAGGAGGAGGCGGUUGCUUCAAGUGUGGUGAAGACAGACAUUUUGCUCGUGAAUGAACUAGCGGUGGUCGUUGCUCAUUUUCUUUGAAACCCUUUACCCUAUGUUGGUUUUAGCUUUGAAGUUGUCGUGUUUCCGGUGCAUAUAGUCACCUCUAUCUUUUCUGUAAUUUUGGAUAUGGUUUUUUUGUUCUCUUUAUUUUCUACAUUUAGUAGUUAGUAGUGUGGUUAUGAAGCUGCUGACAAUGGGGAGUCUUAUUUUUGUUGGUGCUUGAAAUGCUUACUAUCUGUACAAGAUCAGAUACAUGUUUUCGAAGCUAUAUCAAUUAUGCAGCUGCUGUUAAUG